rnacentral:misc_RNA from 1 species
UGGCUCUCGCAUCGAUGAAGAACGCAGCGAAAUGCGAUAAGUAAUGUGAAUUGCAGAAUUCAGUGAAUCAUCGAAUCUUUGAACGCAACUUGCGCCUUUUGGUAUUCCGAAAGGCAUGCCUGUCUGAGUGUCAUGUAGCCUCAACCCCCCACGGUUUCUGACCGAGGGGUGUGUUGGACUUGGGUGUCUGCCGCUAGCCGUGGCUCACCUGAAAAGUGUCAGUGGGAAGGUUCCCCGUGUCUGGCGUAAUAAGUUUCGCCCGUCCGAGUCGAGCUGGCCCGCUCCCAACCCCCAUCUAUUUUGACUUUGGCCUCAGAUCAGGUAGGACUACCCGCUGA